UACGAAGGGGGCGAGCGUUGUUCGGAUUUACUGGGCGUAAAGGGCGCGUAGGCGGCCAGCGCAAGUCAGUUGUGAAAUCUCCGGGCUUAACUCGGAACGGUCAACUGAUACUGCGCGGCUAGAGUGCAGAAGGGGCAACUGGAAUUCUCGGUGUAGCGGUGAAAUGCGUAGAGAUGGGGGAGAACACUCGUGGCGAAGGCGGCCAGCUAGACCAGUUCUGACACUGAGGCGCGACAGCGUGGGGAGCAAACAGG
rnacentral:rRNA from 1 species